rnacentral:misc_RNA from 1 species
UGCUCCUGUUAACAAUUCAUAAAAUCCCGGAUAAAAUGGAGCGAAAGAAAGGAGAUAGAACGAGUAUAUCUGCUCUCUCUUUUCUGCGGUAUCCCCUCCAUUCAUGCUGCUUGCUCUUGCGUCAAAUCUGGUUGUCAUGGAAACAUAUAGUGUUUACAUCGCGUGUAAAUUCUUCUUAGCACUCCGCAAUUUCGCAUGAAGUUUUAUGCUUUUACGUCAUCUUAAUUCCAGAAAGAAGUAUCCUUUUUGUAUAACACAGCAAUGGAUCUUGAGUUGAGCAAGAUUAUUGUCUCGUUACAAGCAGACGAGAAGAAUCGUCGCAGACAAGCGUUGGAGGAAAUCAUGAAGACCAUAUCUCAGGAAGGAAUGUCAAACAGACUCGACGACGUGAUCAAACUCUGGGAAGGCGUGCACAGAUUUCUAGUUAGGAUGUUGAACGAUAAUACAGAGACGUGUCGAGAUCUGACUGUAGAAAUACUGAUAAUAUUUCUGGAAGCUCUGCCUGUCGACGACAAGCACAUAAUCUACAUUAUACCAAUAAUGUCCAGGCGGCUGGGCGCACAGGAGCAGAUCGAACCGUCGGAAGAAGUGCGGUUGAAAUGCGUGUCUCUUUUGCGAAUGAUAAUAUUAAAGUAUAAGGAUUUGUUGGCGCCAUACAUCCAGGAUGUGACAGGAAUACUGGCGCGCACUGCCAUGGAUAAUUAUCCAAAUGUAAAGAAGGAGAGUUGCAGAUGCAUAUCAGACUACGCUAGAACUCUUCCUAGGCAUUUCUACUCGCAAUCCGAGUAUUUGAUAAAACCAAUCUUAAGCAAUUUUACACACCAGCAUUACAGAGUUCGGCUAGCUGCUGUCAAAGCGAUAGGCGAUGCGCUUCAGUAUGGAAAUAACAAGUCGAUGGAGGAAGUGGCGACACCUUUGGCACAGAGGCUCUUUGAUCAAAGCGGAAUCGUCAGAGAAGCUGUGAUUGAAGUGUCUGGUCGCUGGUUGAUAGAGCUGCCUCACAGAUACAGCUGGUGGCACAGACUUCUACCCUUGAUUUUGACAGGGUUGCACGACGAGCUCGCGGAAAUCCGUGUGAAAGCGGCAGAUAUGUGGGAUGCCGCGGGAAAAUUGUACAUGGAGGAAAACGAGAAUGAUGCAAAGUUGAAGGAUAAAAUGGACUUUCUUACUGAAGACCCAGAGCAUUAUCCUCCAGGAAUUCCUAGACCGAACUUAGGAUGCCGUGAGAUUGCGCAGCAGAAUCUGUCCAAGCUUGUUAAUGGCAUUAGCACCGAGCUCGGAGAUUGGUUGCCGGACAUACGUGUGCGUUCUGCACAAUUGCUCUGUGUAUUGAUAUUGAAUGUGGAGCAGAACGUUACGCAGCAUAUUGAAAAGCUCUUGCCGCCUAUGUAUCGGGCUUGCAAUGACGAGGACAAGAGAGUUGUGCAUUGUGUGGAAACGGCGGCGCAAUAUCUAGGCUAUUUCGUGGAUCCGAAAAUUUACUGCCAUUUGGUGCUACCUACUUUGGAGGAGUCUCUGACAGCCGGACACUUGUGUGUUUUCGCGGCGAUUAUCAGCGGUAGCGAACGGAAAGCUCUCUCGCUACAGCUUCACAAAAUCGCAAACUUCUUGCAACAGCCGUAUAUCUGCCAAAGCAAAAAGAGCAACUACCAACGUCAAGUACUAUCCUGCUGCAACUCUCUUCUCUCAGUUUGUAAAGAGGACUGCAUAUCGAUCACUCAAGCUUUAUUUACCGUGAUAUUCACCACGUAUGCGAUGAGCGUGGAAUCUUCCGUUCGCAAGGAAGCAGACAGACUUCUGGAGGUGCUCGUUGAAAUAAACUCGCUAAAAGACACCGAGGAUCUCUUCUACGAUCACAUAAAGCCACUGAUAGCAUCGAUUCACGACGACUGCGCCUCGUGGUCAGUGUACAGCGCGGAAUCGCAAAUUUUCUGCGCUUCUUUGAGCCGCGCCGGAAUCGCCAUGGCGUGCAACAUGGACCUCAUGUUACUCAUUCUCAAGAAAACCAUGAGCAAGGACGCCGAUCCCGAGCUAAAGCUGCGACACUUUAUUUUGCUUUCCGAGUACUUCUCGAACAAUCAGAAUUUAUAUCAAUACAUUGAAGAUUUGCAUAAAUUUGUGAGCACGAUUCUCGAGGAAUUGAUUAUACCUGCACUCAUUUGGACCGCCGGCAGGGCGGCUGAAACUAUCCGCACAGCCGCAGUUUGCUGCCUCUGCGCCAUUUUGCAGAACAAAAUAAUUAAUCCCGAUGAGAAGACUGAAAUUAACGAAGCGGAUUCGUCUGCGAAUCGAGAGAAUGAGAAACCUAGAAUAUCCAUCACAGUAGAGCAGUUUCCAUCGAUCUUCGAUAAAAUCGUGCCCGUCCUCGUCAGUCUAGUGGACGAUAAAGCGAAGAAGACUAGAUUAUACUCCAUGCACGCCAUUUGUUUAUUGAUAUCAGUUGGACAAAAGCUAUCUUGUCUAAACGAUCAACACAUCCAUAGCACAUAUCCGGUAAUAUUGAAAAGACUCGACGAUGGUUGCGACGACAUUCGCUAUGCUGCUGUGGAAGCACUUGUGGAUGUGUGGAACGCUGCACCUGAAAAUUACGACACUGUCGUCUGCAGAAGUCACAUCGACGCUCUGUACACAACGAUGAUUAUUCACCUGGACGAUCCGGAGUCUCGUUUCCAAGAGAUAAUGCUAGAUGCAUUAAAACACGUUGCAAAGAUUUAUCCCGAGUUCCUGCAACAAAAAUUGCAUAACUGCCGACCAAAUUUUAGGAAUAAAGUAGGAGUAGACGCACUUUUGGAAUAUUGCCAAGAUAUAAUCAAAAGAGAUUAAGCUCAUUUCUGGAAAGAUGUGUCUGGUUGCAUAUAUUAUACUUCUGUAAUUUCUAAGAUAGAUCCAACUAAACACGCGUUUAGCAACAAAGCCAACAAACAUGCAGAUUGCAAGCACAAAGCUCGCGGGAUAUAACCUCAAUGCACACAUGUUACGCGGCUACAGGAAGUACCCGCCCUUUUGAAGGCGCCGCCAUGUUGUCCAUGUCUUCCGCUCGGCGAAGUGUGAAGCGGAGGGGUAGACAAACGAGAUUAACAAUCGGCCGAUAAUUCGGUGCAGAUUCCGCGAGCACGAGGACCGGUUCUAUUGUCGUAAGCCGCCUGUCAAGCUAUUCAGAAGUAACG